UACAGAGGGUGCGAGCGUUAAUCGGAAUUACUGGGCGUAAAGCGUGCGUAGACGGUUGCGUAAGUCAGAUGUGAAAGCCCCGGGCUCAACCUGGGAAUUGCAUUUGAGACUGCGUAGCUAGGGUGCGGAAGAGGGAAGCGGAAUUUCCGGUGUAGCGGUGAAAUGCGUAGAUAUCGGGAGGAAGGCCGGUGGCGAAGGCGGCGCUCUGGAACAUUUCUGACGCUGAGGCUCGAAAGCGUGGGGAGCAAACAGG
rnacentral:rRNA from 1 species